CAGCCGCCGCGGGAAUACGGAGGGUGCAAGCGUUAAUCGGAAUUACUGGGCGUAAAGCGCACGCAGGCGGUCUGACAAGUCAGAUGUGAAAUCCCCGGGCUUAACCUGGGAACUGCAUUUGAAACUGUCAGGCUGGAGUCUUGUAGAGGGGGGUGGAAUUCCAGGUGUAGCGGUGAAAUGCGUAGAGAUCUGGAGGAAUACCGGUGGCGAAGGCGGCCCCCUGGACAAAGACUGACGCUCAGGUGCGAAAGCGUGGGGAGCAAACAGGAUUAGAGACCCGUGUAGUCCCUGUCUCUUAUAC
rnacentral:rRNA from 1 species